UACGAAGGGUGCAAACGUUGCUCGGAAUUAUUGGGCGUAAAGCGCACGUAGGCGGCAUUGCAAGUCGGAUGUGAAAUCCCUCGGCUUAACCAGGGAAGUGCAUCCGAAACUGCAGUGCUUGAGUACUUAAGAGGAUCGCGGAAUUCCCGGUGUAGAGGUGAAAUUCGUAGAUAUCGGGAGGAACACCAGUGGCGAAGGCGGCGAUCUGGGAAGAUACUGACGCUGAGGUGCGAAAGCGUGGGGAGCAAACAGG
rnacentral:rRNA from 1 species